CCCAUGAAUUAACCCGACACGGGAUCCGCAUCACUCAUUUGGGUCCGAUAAGUUCAUUCCAUAUAUAAAGAACAACCCGCUCCUUUCAUUCACAUACUAGGGUUUCCAAGAUUCAGCUUCUUCUCCAAGCUUCCUCUCUCAAUCUCAAACGUCUGAUAAGCUCCGACUCAAAUGGCUUUUUGAAGGAAUUUGUAAAAGCCUCUUCAAGUUUCGUCACUAAUUCGAUCCUUCACUCGCGAUCUAGGGUUUUGCUCCAAAAACCCCUUUCUCUCAUCCAAUCCAUCUACUUAUUCUUCUUCAAUCAACAGGUGACUGAUUGUUGGUUCGUAUGUGACGUGGAGAUGCCUGUGGAUGUGAGACGAACGAUGCUAAAGGCAACAGAGAAGGUAAUGAAGAAAAAGAGUAAAAAGGGGGAAGAUGAAUUAUUGCAAGGACUGUGGAGCUUUGUUUAGAAACCCACGCACCAGAAGAAGCAUAUGAAAAGCUAUUCAUUGCAAUUUCAUCUAAAUAUAAGGAUCCAGAAUUGGAUCAGAGAUCAAGUUGCUCGGGUUAUCUGAACAAUUUAGGGAGAAAUUUUUUGAACAUGUUAUACUUAUUGAAUCUUGAUAUGGGUUAAUGAGGGAAUGUAAAUGACUACAGAGUUUGAUGGUGGUACGAAUUUGUUCCUUUUGACAAAAAUGUGGGUGGUGGGUCAAAACGGGUCAGUUAAAAAUGGCUGUUUUGUUUCAGGUUGAAACGGACCCGGGUCAGAACAGGUUUCGGGUUGGGCUGUUUAAAAGAUGUUAAAAAAAGAGAUUACACAGUUAACUACCCAAAAGAAACUAGAAAAACACAGCCUAACUAAAAUAAGAUCACUGGAUGUCGAAGCACCUCCACCAGCCCACAAAAAGAGAAACAACUAAUAAAUAAUGUGACUAAAACAAACAAGGUCCAGUAAGUAUGUAACCAAAGCCAAUACACUAAAACCACAACUAAACCGUUCCACUUUAAAUAGUCUUAACAACUCUACCACAAUUAGCUAACUAGGCCCUUUCAAAAUAAGUGAAUAUAUACCCACCAUAAGCAAACUAAAACCAAUAUGUAAAUUGUACUAUUGGAAGCCAAUGCACUGAAACACUCUUUAUGCCUCCUAUCUUUUCUAAUAUUGAGACCCUAUAACAAGAUAAAACCCGAUAACACAAUAUGACUGUCAUAUUUUAUCACACCAUAACCGAACCAUGGAAUUCCCAAAACUUGGAAAUUUGAUAUGCAAUAGAAUAUCAACUGCUUCUUAUUCAAUGAAUGGAAGCAGUGCAGAUUUUCUAUUAAUUUGAACGUGCUAUGCGCCUAUGCUUAACGAAAUAAUAUUGUUGAGCUUAUAAGAACUUCCAUUUGUUUAAGCUUGAAGCUUUGAUUGUUAAUGCUGCUAAGAACUUCCAUUUGUUUAAGCUUGAAGCUUUGAUUGUUAAUGCUGCUACUAAGUUCAGUCGUAAGUAUUAUUUAUUAUUUUCAUUUAUAAACUAAGCUUAUCAUCUUAGUUGUGUGAUUUUUUUUUAAACUGAGAAGGUUUAGUUGAUUCUAUAUUUGUUUUUAGACAUAUAUAAAUACAUACAAAACUUUAUUGAAGAUGUUGAUGCUAUUUUUUUAUUUGCUAUUAGUUUUCGUUGAAGAUAUUUGUAUUAACUUUUUCUAUUUACUUUAUUUAGAUGUAGAUAUUUUAUUGAGCCGAACUUUUUAAAGAGUUAGGUAUUCUAUUAGUUUAGCUUUAUAUAGAUUUUUGAAUUGUAUGUAGUUUAUAAUUUAAUGUAGUUUGUAAUUCUUUGAGAAAGAAUUGUAAUUUGACAGGUUUCUUUCCGAAUUGAAUUAUGUAUUGGGUCAAUUUGAAAAGGUUCGAAUUGGUGUAUAUAUUGGCUUGAAUUGGGCAGGUUUGGAAUGGACACAAAAUGCCAAAUAAUUUUUUUUCAGCUUACAUUAUAAGGCGGGGUCCAUCAUAAUAAUUUUAAUAAUUUUUGAAAAUGUAUUUUGGAUUUAAAGACGGGGUUCAUCAUGUUUAACACGCCCCGUCUAAUAAAAACCGCUUUUUAAGAAGCAGUAUUUUAAGACGGGAUUAGAAACCCCGUCUUAAAACCUAAAUCACCCCGUCUAAUGCUCCAUUUUAUAGUAGUGUGCUGAGUUAUCUUAUCUCUCAAGUCCUACAACUCAUGGCGAUUCAGUUCUCUUGAUCACAACUAUCAUGAGUUCACUAUGUUUAAUAUAACAAAAGGUAACCCUCAGUUUUAAUUUAGGAGUUUGUAAUACAUGGUUUUGUUAGAUCUAUAGUAUGAUGCUUCGUUUAUUUUAAUUUUCAACUUCAGAUUUUCAUAACAAGUCCAUGCAUACAAUUUUUUAUGAUCAGUAUAAACCUAUUUUUUUUUCUAAAAAUAAAAAAACAUAUCAUUUCUUAACACCGCAAAAUUCGCGGAUAUUAGCACUAGUUGAGAUGAUAAAAUAUCUCAAAUAAUAAUAACCUUUUCUGGCCACCUCCUUUUUCUUCAUUUAAUUAUAUGGCAAUUUUUUCUUUAAAUAAUAUAUCUUUUUUUUCCUUUUUUGUGGGUGUCGCCUCCAAUAUAUGAUAUUCACUAUAGUUGGCUUCUAAUACGGCUGCCAUUUAUUCUGUUAUGGCCAUAAUGAGAAUACCCUUCAAAUAUAAUAAUAGUAGCAGCAAUAACCUUUUUUUCCUUUACCUUCGUUCAUUCCUUCAAAUCAUCAUAUGUAGCCCACCUCCUCUCAAUAAUAAUAUAUGGCCAAAUAGGCUUCACAAUGCAUCUACAUGUGCAAGUUGUCUCUAAUAGACAACAUAGAGAUAGUGGGCUCGGCCCACUCACGGGAAAUGGUUGCAAUUUUUAUUCGGUCUCUGGCGAUCUAUUCUACUCAACUUGCUAGUUAUUUAUUUAUUACUCGAUUUCGCUCCAUUUGCACCAGGACAAAACACAAUAUAAAAUAAUAUAACACUAAACUAAAUAAAAACAAAUAAAACUUAUACAAAAAUUAUACAAUUUACACGGGACAAAUAUGUGUAUUUUACCCCACAUCAACUUGCGUAGCGGGUAUCAUCAAAUUCGAAUUUUCGAAGGCGAUGAGUGGAAGACAACAUUUAAAACCAAGGAGGGGCUUUAUGAAUGGCUGGUGAUGCCUUUUGGGUUAUCUAAUGCCCCUAGCACGUUUAUGCAGCUGAUAAACCAAGCGAUGAAACCUUUUUUGGGCCGUUUUGUAGUCGUAUAUUUUGAUGAUAUUCUUGUUUAUAGCAAGAACACUACUAAACAUGUUAACCGUUUGCAGCAAGUGUUUUCUGUU